AAGGGCUGUGAGGGCAGCUCAGUUAGUACUUCCAGAGCCCAGGGUUUGGCACCCCAGUCAGUGAGAAUGCUGCAGCAAGGAGGAGAAAUGCAGGGAAAUCCAGCCAGGCCUGGGGAGGUUGGAGGACCAUUGCAGUCCUCCUGAGUAGGCCUUUAGUGUCUGGGUGGUGUGGAUGCUCCCUGGAGCCUUGGAAGCUACAAAUAAAGCAAGACACUCCCUGCCUCGCGCGGUCAGAAGAAGGUGCGGGAGUUGGAAGGAUGUUGGAAAUCAGCUUCCGUGGCCCUUGACUUUAAGUUUCAUAAAGGAAAAAGAGAAGUCUUCUUGCUGGAAGCAAAACGGAACCUCCUCUCUGCACAUGAAACCCUUCCUCUCUGCAGCCCAUUCCAAAGCAGAGGAAGAAGCCUGACCUCCAGGUACCAUCCAAGAAAACAAGCAUGUCUAAAGGAGAUGAAUGCACUUUCACGUGUGGGACGUGUUCACUGUACAGACAGUUCUUGAUGGGUGACAGAGGUGCAGGACAGAGAUAACGCCGGCCUCUCCUUCUCAACCCUCCAGUUCCCAAUUUCCACUGCGACUAUGUGUGAAACAGAAGUAUCUUUACCAGGGCCAUACAGGGAACAGAUGCAAACCACCCACAGUUUCUAGCUGUAUUCAAAACACAUCAUAAAUAUGUUUGAAGAUGAGAAGAGUUUAAAAAAAAAAAAAGCACUGUGUUCUCCUAGCUUACCACUGUGAGUGCCUGAGAGUGGACGCUGGCCUGAGGUCUCAUGUGCUCACCACCCCCACAUUCUCAAGACCUUCUUAGCAAACCUCUUUAGAGUGGGGAUGUGAACACAUGGGCAAGGGAGCAUCCAUGGAGAAUAAGCAGCUCCUGCAGGACUUGCCAGUGGAGGGUUGAUCACUUGCACAGAAGGAUGGAAUCACGGAUUCCAUCAUAUGACACUUGAACCAUCUUUUGUGUUUCCAGAAUUAUUAAAAAUAGAAGGGAGCCACCAUGUAUGGAAUUGAUGAAGUCUUCUAUAGAAGAGUGGUAAAGUAUUUGUUUUGACAGUUCACCUUGCAAGCUAUGUGAAAGCCGUCUGGAAAAAAAUAUCCUCCUCUAAUGCAUCGGACUGUGCCUAAAUCUGUUGAUGACAUUAAAAUAUAUUUUUUGCUCAUUUUCUUUGGAGAACUUUAUAAGCUGGAUGCACUCCAGACCAUAGGUAGGAGAGAAAAAUGGGUUCUAAGACAUGUAAAAAAAUAGGUUUAAGAAUUGGAGCUGCAUAAGAAGUAAUGAAUGUUACAAAGGUGGAAAAAGAAAUGUGUAAGUAUUACAGGACCUUUAUUCAGGGAUUGAAAAAAAUGGAUAUGUUUAUAAAAGACACUGAGAAGCUGUAGGGAAAAAAAACUAGAUGAUGCCCUUUUGGGAGUUUAAGACAAAAUAAAAAGUUAUUCAAGAAAGUAAUAUCUGAGGAUCAUAAAGGACUAUAAGGGGUAGUCUCACAGCUUGGAAAGACAGCCUAGUCCUGGGAACCCUUAUCUCAUUCCAGACAGUGGUAAUGUCCUGGAUCUCAAAGAAGGUCCUGAGGCUGUUUCAGAGCAUUUCCAGCUGAAGAACACAUACCGAUGGCUGUCUUGAUGAGCUCGAUACCUUCAACAUCAGAAGUGCUGCCCACCCCCACCCUGGGCUGAGUGGCCCUUGACCAUGGUCUUCUUAUUUUUCACCUACCAGAUUGCUCUGGGCCACCUUCCAAGUCUGUGCUCCUCCUGAGCUUCCCUCCACACAGGCUUCUCCUGGGCCACCUGACUGAUUUUUAAUACCUGAAGAUUUGCUCCUGUCUGUGCAUGACCAAGCCUUGGCCAAGCCACUGUUUGUGUUGAUUCAGUUGUAACAUCUGUUCCUGCUGGGGACAGUCAUGCUUUCAUAGCUUACACAUGGCUGGCUUGAACCCAGUCUCUUUUGUGGUCAUUCUGAGCAGCAAGGAACACUGUCUUUUGGGUGCACUGCAGAACUCACACCCUGGAAGGAACAAAGUCAGUUUCCAUAGCUGUCAUUGCAUCCAGAUUAGACAAUGACCUUGGCUGAGCCAUUCUUUCCCUCUGUUUCAGAUCAUCUCAGCUGGCAAUUAAUAUCUCGGUGCAUUCCCUCCAACUUGUCCAUAUGGAACUAAAGUGAAAGACUUAAAGAAAUAGAGAAGAGCCACAUGGCUGGCCGUUUCUGCUGAGUGACCUUGGUUCUUGAGCUCAAAGAUGGCAGUAUAAAUGCAGAUGGCACUGCUGCUACAUUUGCUUGGAACACCUGUAAAAUAUGCAGCAUAUUUCAGCCUUCAGUUUUGGAAUGGUGCUUCCAAAUAAGGCUCAAAAAUUCCUCAGGUGCUUGAUUGUAACAUAGAGCCAGGGAUUCUGUCCUGCAAAUGAAUCCUUCAGCAUGAGGAAUGGUCUUUUCUUGCUUCAAAUUCUUUGAUCUUCUGGAGGCUGGAGAAAGAUGUGGGUCUACAUCUUGAAAUAUGCGCCUUGAAUAAGAAUUACUAACCUGUAGAAAAAUUGUCUUACUUUGAACAAAUUCUCAGUUUACAGAAGCCUAUUGAAAUAUCAAAGUAAAGCAUCAGAAGGUUAUUAACUAAAGGGAUAACCUGAAAAAUAAAGUUCUGUGUGCCCU
rnacentral:lncRNA from 1 species